GUGCUUGCUGCAGUAGCACAUAUACUAAAAUUGGAAGGAUACAGAGAAGAUGAGCAUGGCCCCUGCACAAGGAUGACACACAAAUCCAUGAUGCAUUCCAUAUUUUC
ensembl:snRNA U6 U6 spliceosomal RNA